rnacentral:rRNA from 1 species
AGAUUGAACGCUGGCGGCAUGCCUUACACAUGCAAGUCGAACGGUAGAGUAGCAAUACUCGAGAGUGGCGAACGGGUGAGUAAUAUAUCGGAACGUGCCCAGUCGUGGGGGAUAACGUAGAGAAAUUUACGCUAAUACCGCAUACGAUCUACGGAUGAAAGCGGGGGAUUCGGC